rnacentral:lncRNA from 1 species
AAGACGACCUGAAGUUGUCGUUUUUUAUAUGAAACAAAGAAGGAUUUGAAUUACUGACCUUUAACCUACACCGGUUGCAUUCAGAUCCAUUUUACUUCCGCUUCCGGUAAAAAUAAAAUUAUCAAAACAGAACGAUAAUCUUCGUCAGAUGAGCUUGACCAGCACACUGUAGUGUCAUUACUAGACUUGCAGGACUGGUCACCUCCCUCGUCUGGUAUACAGUGCAAGUCACACAGAUCAGAGACACUCCAAGCGUUUCGACAGGAGAACUGCUCAGAUGACAUUGAAUUAGGAACACCUACUGUGGUGACAAAUAGGCAGACGUACAUGUAGGCUUGUGGCGCAGCUGAUACGGCAGACAUAGAGUUUAUAGACAUACCAGCUCCUCAUCAGAGAAAACAGUUUUGUUUGGUAAGCUAUAAACAG